rnacentral:rRNA from 1 species
GAUUGAACGCUGGCGGCAGGCCUAACACAUGCAAGUCGRGCGGUAGCACAAGGGAGCUUGCUCCCCGGGUGACGAGCGGCGGACGGGUGAGUAAUGUCUGGGAAACUGCCUGAUGGAGGGGGAUAACUACUGGAAACGGUAGCUAAUACCGCAUAACGUCUACGGACCAAAGCGGGGGACUUUCGGGCCUCGCGCCAUCAGAUGUGCCCAGAUGGGAUUAGCUAGUAGGUGGGGUAAUGGCUCACCUAGGCGACGAUCCCUAGCUGGUCUGAGAGGAUGACCAGCCACACUGGAACUGAGACACGGUCCAGACUCCUACGGGAGGCAGCAGUGGGGAAUAUUGCACAAUGGGCGCAAGCCUGAUGCAGCCAUGCCGCGUGUGUGAAGAAGGCCUUCGGGUUGUAAAGCACUUUCAGCGAGGAGGAAGGGUCCAGGUUUAAUACACCUGUUCAUUGACGUUACUCGCAGAAGAAGCACCGGCUAACUCCGU